rnacentral:rRNA from 1 species
UACGUAGGUGGCGAGCGUUGUCCGGAUUUACUGGGCGUAAAGGGAGCGUAGGCGGACUUCUAAGUGAGAUGUGAAAUACUCGGGCUCAACUUGAGUGCUGCAUUUCAAACUGGAAGUCUAGAGUGCAGGAGAGGAGAAUGGAAUUCCUAGUGUAGCGGUGAAAUGCGUAGAGAUUAGGAAGAGCACCAGUGGCGAAGGCGAUUCUCUGGACUGUAACUGACGCUGAGGCUCGAAAGCGUGGGGAGCAAACAGG